AUUUAUGUAGUUUAUUUAAAAUAUUACAUUUUCAUUGUAGAGAUAUUAUUUUCAUAAAUA
rnacentral:tRNA from 1 species